GUUAGGACCCUGCUUAGCCUUUACUUCAGCAACGACACUGGAGCUUGAGGUUGGAGAUGAUGGCAAAGCCACAACCUUUGCUUCCACAGAAUCAGAUUGCACAUCGACAGAGCCAACAACAAUCGUUUCCCCCUUCUCACUGGCGGUUGAUCCAUUGAUACAUUUUUCCUAUUAAAUAGGUAUAGAUCUUCUAUAUUUACUUAAAAGGUUGAAGAAUCGGUAGUUUUUAAUUGGGAAUUCGGCCGUUUCCUACGCCUAUUUGCCCUAAAAAUCGCAAUCCUACAAAUUCGUCUUUUAUCACACGAUCUCUCACCGGCCGUUUCCUACGCCCAUUUUCCCUAAAAAUCGCAAUCCUACAAAUUCGGCUUUUAUCACACGAUCUCUCACCACGAUUUCAACUUCUCACCCACGCAUUCCUCUUUCCUACAUUCUCUAUAACAUGAUUUCACAGUUUUUUCAAUUCAGUUUUCUACGUUUACAAUGUAUACUUCUAUUAUUUCUCCCUCUUCUGCAUAUCGAACAGCAAUUGUCGACUACAAGAGGUGAUCGGAAUCAACCAUAGAUCACUCAUCCUCCUCCUUUCUAGAAUUGCAUCUAUAGAUACAGUUAAGGCG
rnacentral:lncRNA from 1 species